rnacentral:rRNA from 1 species
UACAGGGGGUGCAAACGUUGCUCGGAAUCAUUGGGCGUAAAGCGCACGUAGGCGGUUCGUUAUGUCGGAUGUGAAAGCCCUUGGCUUAACCGAGGAAGUGCAUCCGAAACUGGCGAGCUAGAGUACGAAAGAGGAUCGCGGAAUUCCUGGUGUAGCGGUGAAAUGCGCAGAUAUCAGGAAGAACACCCGUGGCUAAGGCGGCUCUCUAGUACGGUACUGACGCUGAGACGCGAAAGCGUGGGGAGCGAACAGG